AAAAGUUUUUAUUCUUGUUUGACAAAUUACUUCUAUUUUUGGUAUCCGUAUACUACAAGUUUAGUUCAUAGCUGAAUAUAUUGUUCUAGUGGUAACUGACUAUUUGCCAUUUUCAAGUUACAUGUCGAAUCGCGGCACUGCAGGGAUGGAAAACUUCUAUUUAUUUUUUGUGCACUCAAAAAAUGAUUUUUCAUCAGGACGCUGUUAGCGUUGGUAUGCAUUUGUAGUAUGUCAAUCAUAUAGUACAAUUUCAUUAAAGUGCGAACAAAACCUUUACUAUACUAGCAUAAUGCCUGGAUUUUUUUGGCUACGCUUAGUUAUAAAAUCAGCAAAAGUUCCACUCCAUUGGAGUAGGGUAAGAGCAUUGUUAGAUGGAUGUAUACGUUUUGGAGAAAAUUCAAAUAUUUGAAGUGCAAUGUUCAUUUCAUAUCGUUAGUUUUCAUUUUCUGUUAGUUAGUUUUUAGGAUUUUCGAUAUAGAAUUUUAUACAGGUUCGUUUUCCGAACAUCAUUAUAUAUUAUUUGUGUCUAUUCUUUCGAAACAUCUGCCAUACUAUUUCAUAAAGGUAGUAACCCUCAUUUACAAGUUGUUGGCUUUUACAGAAUUGAUCAUCAUAAAAACACAGUUUUGCAUCUUUUGACAGUAGUACACAUUCUCUUCGGAACUCUUUUUUAUAGAUCAAUUACUCAGUUUAACAAUAGUACAAAUGCUAAAAGAAGCCAAAUUGAACCCGUGACACGGGUUACAAAGUGCAAAAUUGACACCCUCAUUUCACGGAUUUUAUCUGAUAUACCAUACUCGGAAAGUAAUUCAGA